rnacentral:rRNA from 1 species
UACAGAGGGGGCAAGCGUUAUUCGGAAUUAUUGGGCGUAAAGGGCGCGUAGGCGGCGAUUCAAGUGACGGGUGAAAUCCCUCGGCUUAACCGAGGAACUGCCUGUCAGACUGGAUUGCUUGAGGCCGGGAGAGGCGAGUGGAAUUCCCAGUGUAGCGGUGAAAUGCGUAGAUAUUGGGAGGAACACCAGUGGCGAAGGCGACUCGCUGGACCGGUCCUGACGCUGAGGCGCGAAAGCGUGGGGAGCAAACCGG